GAAUUCGGCUUCCUACGGGGGGCAGCAGUGGGGAAUAUUGGACAAUGGGGGGAACCCUGAUCCAGCCAUGCCGCGUGUGUGAAGAAGGCCUUAUGGUUGUAAAGCACUUUAAGCGAGGAGGAGGCUACUGAGACUAAUACUCUUGGAUAGUGGACGUUACUCGCAGAAUAAGCACCGGCUAACUCUGUGCCAGCAGCCGCGGUAAUACAGAGGGUGCGAGCGUUAAUCGGAUUUACUGGGCGUAAAGCGUGCGUAGGCGGCUUUUUAAGUCGGAUGUGAAAUCCCCGAGCUUAACUUGGGAAUUGCAUUCGAUACUGGGAAGCUAGAGUAUGGGAGAGGAUGGUAGAAUUCCAGGUGUAGCGGUGAAAUGCGUAGAGAUCUGGAGGAAUACCGAUGGCGAAGGCAGCCAUCUGGCCUAAUACUGACGCUGAGGUACGAAAGCAUGGGGAGCAAACAGGAUUAGAUACCCUGGUAGUCCAUGCCGUAAACGAUGCCUACUAGCCGUUGGGGCCUUUGAGGCUUUAGUGGCGCAGCUAACGCGAUAAGUAGACCGCCUGGGGAGUACGGUCGCAAGACUAAAACUCAAAUGAAUUGACGGGGGCCCGCACAAGCGGUGGAGCAUGUGGUUUAAUUCGAUGCAACGCGAAGAACCUUACCUGGCCUUGACAUACUAGAAACUUUCCAGAGAUGGAUUGGUGCCUUCGGGAAUCUAGAUACGGGUGCUGCAUGGCUGUCGUCAGCUCGUGUCGUGAGAUGUUGGGUUAAGUCCCGCAACGAGCGCAACCCUUUUCCUUACUUGCCAGCAUUUCGGAUGGGAACUUUAAGGAUACUGCCAGUGACAAACUGGAGGAAGGCGGGGACGACGUCAAGUCAUCAUGGCCCUUACGGCCAGGGCUACACACGUGCUACAAUGGUCGGUACAAAGGGUUGCUACACAGCGAUGUGAUGCUAAUCUCAAAAAGCCGAUCGUAGUCCGGAUUGGAGUCUGCAACUCGAGUGCAUGAAGGCGGAAUCGCUAGUAAUCGUGGAUCAGCAUGCCACGGUGAAUACGUUCCCGGGCCUUGUACACACCGCCCGUCAAGCCGAAUUC
rnacentral:rRNA from 1 species